UCCGAAAGUUCCUCAGACAAGCUUAUUUGACUGGAAUGUUUGGAGAAAGUGCUGUUGAUGAAGGAAUCAUAGCAAAGUGGGGGCAGAUGGAUUCCACUAACCAGCCGCGUAACCCCUUGGGCAAGGUAUUGUACCUCUCGGAGUGUCAGUUUCCCUUAUCUGCAAAUUGGAGCUGA
rnacentral:lncRNA from 1 species